CCAUCUCCUAAGGCUAAAUACUCUCUAGUGACCGAUAGUGAACCAGUACCGUGAGGGAAAGGUGAAAAGCACCCCGGAAGGGGAGUGAAAUAGAACCUGAAACCGUGUGCUUACAAGUAGUCAGAGCCCGUUAAUGGGUGAUGGCGUGCCUUUUGUAGAAUGAACCGGCGAGUUACGAUUUGAUGCAAGGUUAAGCAGUAAAUGUGGAGCCGUAGCGAAAGCGAGUCUGAAUAGGGCGUUUAGUAUUUGGUCGUAGACCCGAAACCAGGUGAUCUACCCUUGGUCAGGUUGAAGUUCAGGUAACACUGAAUGGAGGACCGAACCGACUUACGUUGAAAAGUGAGCGGAUGAACUGAGGGUAGCGGAGAAAUUCCAAUCGAACCUGGAGAUAGCUGGUUCUCUCCGAAAUAGCUUUAGGGCUAGCCUCAAGUGAUGAUUAUUGGAGGUAGAGCACUGUUUGGACGAGGGGCCCCUCUCGGGUUACCGAAUUCAGACAAACUCCGAAUGCCAAUUAAUUUAACUUGGGAGUCAGAACAUGGGUGAUAAGGUCCGUGUUCGAAAGGGAAACAGCCCAGACCACCAGCUAAGGUCCCAAAAUAUAUGUUAAGUGGAAAAGGAUGUGGCGUUGCCCAGACAACUAGGAUGUUGGCUUAGAAGCAGCCAUCAUUUAAAGAGUGCGUAAUAGCUCACUAGUCGAGUGACACUGCGCCGAAAAUGUACCGGGGCUAAACAUAUUACCGAAGCUGUGGAUUGUCCUUUGGACAAUGGUAGGAGAGCGUUCUAAGGGCGUUGAAGCAUGAUCGUAAGGACAUGUGGAGCGCUUAGAAGUGAGAAUGCCGGUGUGAGUAGCGAAAGACGGGUGAGAAUCCCGUCCACCGAUUGACUAAGGUUUCCAGAGGAAGGCUCGUCCGCUCUGGGUUAGUCGGGUCCUAAGCUGAGGCCGACAGGCGUAGGCGAUGGAUAACAGGUUGAUAUUCCUGUACCACCUAUAAUCGUUUUAAUCGAUGGGGGGACGCAGUAGGAUAGGCGAAGCGUGCGAUUGGAUUGCACGUCUAAGCAGUAAGGCUGAGUAUUAGGCAAAUCCGGUACUCAUUAAGGCUGAGCUGUGAUGGGGAGAAGACAUUGUGUCUUCGAGUCGUUGAUUUCACACUGCCGAGAAAAGCCUCUAGAUAGAAAAUAGGUGCCCGUACCGCAAACCGACACAGGUAGUCAAGAUGAGAAUUCUAAGGUGAGCGAGCGAACUCUCGUUAAGGAACUCGGCAAAAUGACCCCGUAACUUCGGGAGAAGGGGUGCUCUUUAGGGUUAACGCCCAGAAGAGCCGCAGUGAAUAGGCCCAAGCGACUGUUUAUCAAAAACACAGGUCUCUGCUAAACCGUAAGGUGAUGUAUAGGGGCUGACGCCUGCCCGGUGCUGGAAGGUUAAGAGGAGUGGUUAGCUUCUGCGAAGCUACGAAUCGAAGCCCCAGUAAACGGCGGCCGUAACUAUAACGGUCCUAAGGUAGCGAAAUUCCUUGUCGGGUAAGUUCCGACCCGCACGAAAGGCGUAACGAUUUGGGCACUGUCUCAACGAGAGACUCGGUGAAAUCAUAGUACCUGUGAAGAUGCAGGUUACCCGCGACAGGACGGAAAGACCCCGUGGAGCUUUACUGUAGCCUGAUAUUGAAAUUCGGCACAGCUUGUACAGGAUAGGUAGGAGCCUUUGAAACGUGAGCGCUAGCUUACGUGGAGGCGCUGGUGGGAUACUACCCUAGCUGUGUUGGCUUUCUAACCCGCACCACUUAUCGUGGUGGGAGACAGUGUCAGGCGGGCAGUUUGACUGGGGCGGUCGCCUCCUAAAAGGUAACGGAGGCGCUCAAAGGUUCCCUCAGAAUGGUUGGAAAUCAUUCAUAGAGUGUAAAGGCAUAAGGGAGCUUGACUGCGAGACCUACAAGUCGAGCAGGGUCGAAAGACGGACUUAGUGAUCCGGUGGUUCCGCAUGGAAGGGCCAUCGCUCAACGGAUAAAAGCUACCCCGGGGAUAACAGGCUUAUCUCCCCCAAGAGUUCACAUCGACGGGGAGGUUUGGCACCUCGAUGUCGGCUCAUCGCAUCCUGGGGCUGUAGUCGGUCCCAAGGGUUGGGCUGUUCGCCCAUUAAAGCGGUACGCGAGCUGGGUUCAGAACGUCGUGAGACAGUUCGGUCCCUAUCCGUCGUGGGCGUAGGAAAUUUGAGAGGAGCUGUCCUUAGUACGAGAGGACCGGGAUGGACAUACCUCUGGUGUACCAGUUGUCGUGCCAACGGCAUAGCUGGGUAGCUAUGUGUGGACGGGAUAAGUGCUGAAAGCAUCUAAGCAUGAAGCCCCCCUCAAGAUGAGAUUUCCCAACUUCGGUUAUAAGAUCCCUCAAAGAUGAUGAGGUUAAUAGGUUCGAGGUGGAAGCAUGGUGACAUGUGGAGCUGACGAAUACUAA
rnacentral:rRNA from 1 species